GAUGAACGCUAGCGGCAGGCCUAACACAUGCAAGUCGAGGGGUAGCAGGAUUAAGCUUGCUUAAUUGCUGACGACCGGCGCACGGGUGCGUAACGCGUAUGCAACCUACCUUAUACUGGGGUAUAGCCCGGAGAAAUUCGGAUUAAUCCCCCAUAGUACUAAUGAAUCGCAUGGUUUAUUAGUUAAAGCAUUGCGGUAUAAGAUGGGCAUGCGUCCUAUUAGCUAGAUGGUGAGGUAACGGCUCACCAUGGCUACGAUAGGUAGGGGGCCUGAGAGGGUGGUCCCCCACACUGGAACUGAGACACGGACCAGACUCCUACGGGAGGCAGCAGUGAGGAAUAUUGGUCAAUGGGCGCAAGCCUGAACCAGCCAUGCCGCGUGCAGGAAGAAUGCCCUAUGGGCUGUAAACUGCUUUUAUUUGGGAAUAAACCUCUUUACGUGUAGAGAGCUGAAGGUACCAAAUGAAUAAGCACCGGCUAACUCCGUGCCAGCCGCCGCAGUAA
rnacentral:rRNA from 1 species